CGAAAGGUCCUAUUGGAUUGUAAAACUUCUUUUUAUAAGGGAAUUAAAAAAGGCCACGUAGUGGCUUCUUGUUAUGUACUUUAUGAAUAAGGAUCGGCUAACUCCGUGC
rnacentral:rRNA from 1 species